CUGAUGCAGCAACGCCGCGUGAGGGACGAAGGCCUUCGGGUUGUAAACCUCUUUUAGUAGGGAAGAAGCGAAAGUGACGGUACCUGCAGAAAAAGCACCGGCUAACUACGUGCCAGCAGCCGCGGUAAUACGUAGGGUGCAAGCGUUGUCCGGAAUUAUUGGGCGUAAAGAGCUCGUAGGCGGUUUGUCGCGUCUGCUGUGAAAACUGGAGGCUCAACCUCCAGCCUGCAGUGGGUACGGGCAGACUAGAGUGCGGUAGGGGAGAUUGGAAUUCCUGGUGUAGCGGUGGAAUGCGCAGAUAUCAGGAGGAACACCGAUGGCGAAGGCAGAUCUCUGGGCCGUAACUGACGCUGAGGAGCGAAAGCAUGGGGAGCGAACAGGAUUAGAUACCCUGGUAGUCCAUGCCGUAAACGUUGGGAACUAGAUGUAGGGGCCAUUCCACGGUUUCUGUGUCGCAGCUAACGCAUUAAGUUCCCCGCCUGGGGAGUACGGCCGCAAGGCUAAAACUCAAAGGAAUUGACGGGGGCCCGCACAAGCGGCGGAGCAUGCGGAUUAAUUCGAUGCAACGCGAAGAACCUUACCAAGGCUUGACAUAUACCGGAAACGGCUAGAGAUAGUCGCCCCGCAAGGUCGG
rnacentral:rRNA from 2 species